CGGGGAAUUAUGAAUUAUUGUUAAUACGUAAUAUUAAUCAUAUGUACGGGGGAAAAAGAACAGAAAAAGGAAACAGAAAUUCGACAGGAUAAACGGGAAUCGGGGAAUUACGAAACUAUAAAACGGAUUCUGGUGUCUUGGGAAUUAGAAAACCGCUCCAUGAAUUAAAAAGUAAAGAAAUUUAGCGAAGUUUUCCUUUAUUAGUAGAGCAUAAAAAAGUCAAUCCACAUUGCUUAUGUCAGAUCAUUAAGUAAUAUUAAUAAUAAUAACAUUGCUUAUGUCAUUACUAAUAUACUUGCUAUAUCAUAAAACAAACUUAUGGACUAGAUGCAAGCCCAAGGCAGUCCUUAUGCUCCAUACGAUAUCUUAAAGUGAUUAUCCUAUUUUAAAUAUCUUACAAAGCAAAACUAACAAAACACAAAAUUCUUCAAAAUACGCAGAUUUUAAGUUAGCAAUUUAAGUUGGCAAGUACGUUUCUAAAGAGGGUCCUGAAGGGGUAAAAUGGGAACUGGGAUUGAUCUAAUUUUAGACUGGGAAAAUGGGAUUUGGCCACUGGGAAUGGGAAAUAAGUCCUCAAAAAUGGGAAUGGGAUUGAGGUAAUGCGAGUCGAUUCCCAAUUUUUCUACAUUUUAAGUGUUUUAAAAUAUAAUUUUGAUCCGUUUUCGGUGUCUUUGGUCAUGACUUUUGUUGUUAACUAUAUUAUUCACAGCACUAGCUGCGAACAGGCAUACUCUGGCGCCCGGAAUUCUGGGUUUUCUGAUUAUGUGUGUGUCAGAAUGCUGCAAAUGCCACUCUGAAUUAUAAAGGAUUUGUAGGGAUAGUAAAGGAUAUUUAAUGGUGUGCGACGGGUGAGAUCGAUGGCUUACAAAAUGUAAUCAAGACCCUCAUCAAGACGAACAACUUUUGUUAAUAUCUUCUUACCAAAAUCUGCAAGCGUAAGGUGUUAGGUUCUGCGCAUGCACAGACCUAUCUCCUUAAAUACGCAUAGCUUCCGUCUUCCCAUCAUACCUUGCGUAAUUUGUUCCCCCCCCCCCUUAAUAUUACGCAAUUUUACUAAAAAUUCGUAAGGCUCUGCGGAGGAGAGUGUGCAAAUGCCAUUUCCGGGAUUCAAAUUUAAAAAUUUUUGUGCCUUCGGCACGAGCCCCCUCAGUGUUUCAUAAAAGGUCCACCACUUGCACACACGGUGGCUUAAAAGGUCUUAAAACUGUUUAUUCUACCGAUAAAUAAAGGGUUUUUUAUUGACUGGGAUUUCAAUAACUCGGACUGGGAUUUCUAAUAAAAAUCCAACUGGGACUGGGAUUUUGCCAAAAUUUCAGGUGGGAAAUGGGAUUGGGACCCCCCCUUCAGGACCCUCUCUAAAGGACCCAGCCGAACUCUCCUACAAGCCUUUGGACGUGCUCCACCUUGAAAAGGGGAGGAAAGUCUGGAGGAACGACGAGAACAUCGCCAAGAAAGCUUGGAUACUUUGCUCUGAUGCAGGCUGAUCGGAGAUGAAAAUGCACGUUCUGAGGCUCACUUGAAAACUGGAUUUGUCCUGUAUUUCGGUCUCGGAACUGUCGUAUGUCGCGGUAUUCAACAAUUAAAUCAUCAGGUAAAGCUUGAGGAGGAUUCUUUAUUUCUCCGUUGCAUCCGUAACAUCGAUAUACCCGUGUCCCUGCUACCCACUUUGGUUUGAACGACGAACUUGAUUGAAUCAGAUUACGGUUGGAGAAGACAUUCUGAAUAACAGGUUGAUGUGGAGCUGCUUCGGGGAAAAGACUAUUAAGCCUGUUGUUUCCUGUUUGUUGCUGUAUGGCAGGCAAGAUUGAAACCGGAGCUACGUUUAGUGGAAAUACCGGUGCUUGUGGAUUGACGAAGACAGAUCGAUUACCUUCUAGGAGGUCCCUAGUCUCAGUAACAGGAGGUUUCUGCGAGUUGCUUUUCUUUCGAUUGCUAGGCUUCUUCUCCGCGAUUUUUGGAGCACUUCGUAAUGCCAUGUCCAAUACUUUGUCUUUAUGCCCUCUUUUAGAUCUGCCCUUCUUUUGGAUCGGUACCAUGCCAAGAACUCGUUUAAUGAUCCACGGACGUGCGCUACUACGCAGGCCCGAUCACACUUCAAACUACCGCCGUUUCAAUGUGUAACGAUAUGUAUGUUGUUUGCAUAUCCAGCGACAAUAAACGUCUAAACGAUC
rnacentral:lncRNA from 1 species